CUGCACCAACUGAUCCAACCACGUUAUUACGCGUGAACAUGACUGCGCCAGAUAUAUCCACUGGAGCAACAGGACUCUCAACAUUAGCUGCAGGAACUGCCUUAGUAGGCUUUUCUGGUGCGGGUGCUACUGGUGCUGGAGCUGGGGCCUUAGAAGCAAAAAUGUCCUUAGGAAGUAGCACCUUCUCAAUCUUAUAAAUGGCUAGCUGGUUGUCCGUGUAUACCGUGCCAGAUAAACUUGUAUUGGUAAGUCCUGUGGUUAUGUUCACCGAGUUUGGAUAACUUGUUACGUUAAGUGGUAACCUACUACCUGUUCCAGCCCAUGUUCCAAGAGGAUUACUUACAGUCUGAAACUGGGAAGUGGAUAGGAAUGUUGGAACUACGUGGAACUUCACCAACUCAGACUUGUCACCAUCACUUAGAGUAUUGAGAGUUCCUGAUUUGAGUUCCGAAAAUGCACUAUCUGUGGGUGCAAAGAUGGUUACACCAGAGCUUGAAUCAUUAAGCGCGGAGAACAAGUGGUUUUCCUCUUGGGUGGAUCUCAAAAGGCGGAUAAAGAUCGUGAAGUGGCCAGCCUUCUCAAGGAUUUUGGUGACGUUGGUGAUGCCGUGUGGAGCAGCUGCCUGUGUUGGAGUUGCGGCUGGGGGUUGUGCUACGACUACUGCUGGUGCCUGCGCUGGGGCUGCUGCUGGUGACUGGGCAAAGGUAUUGGUAUAGUGGAGGAAAAGAAGGAAAACUGAAAUGGAGGAGAUUGAGUACUGUUGCUUCAUCUUUAAGUUUCCAGGCUAUUCUACUAGAAACUAUAAAAAAAAUGCUUAUGUAAAUUGAGCUCGAUCUUAUUUAGAAGUGUUUGAUGUCUAAAGAAGAGACAGAGUGAGGUUUUAUAGUAGUAGGCAGAGGAUCAAGUAAGGUGCCAUGUACAAUUUCAGAUAUACUAUCUAGUACCUUAUCUUGCUCCAUAAGGUGGAAGGUCACCAAUGGAGAAGGAAAUUUAACAUUGCUGCUCCAACUACUUUCUGAAUUAUCACUGGCAGAACAUUUGAGCAUAAAUGUGAACAUCAAAACAAAUCAUCUGUAAUGACAGAAGAUUUGGACAAGCAAUCUCUACUGACCCAUCUCUAUAUCUAAAACUGCUAAGAAUUGUGUCUUUAAGACAUGUCCUGAUGUUUUGAAAUAAAUGAGUAGGAAAAUGCAACAAAGUCCUUGGAGGCUUAAAAAUGGAUAUAAAUGAACGAGGGAGGGGUAUUGUAAUAAUUGAAUAAACAUAAUAAGUAUAAAUAGAAAAAAAAAAAAAAAAAAGAGAUCUGAAAAUUUUGAGAGAUAACCGGCAGGAGUGAAGGGAGAAAAAAGAAGAAGAAGAAGAAAAAAGAGGGAAAGAUAAGGGAAAUAGAAGAGAAUUAGAGAAAAUAAGCUUAAAGUUAAGAUUAUGUAUAAAUGUGUGUUCUUUAAGCUUUAAAUUUCUGUUUUGUUGAAUGUUAAGGUUUUAAAGAUUGUGUUUUGGUUGAUUGAUGAAUUGAUUUGAAUGUUAUGGGUUGAUUGUUAUGGGUAAUGAAUUGUUUAGUUGAUUUUGAAAGAUUUUAGGUAAAGAUGAUGAUUUUGAAUUAUGAUUUUGUUUAAAUGGUGAAUUUGAGUUAGAAAUCUUGAUAUAACAGUAGGUAAUCUGUGAAAUUCUGGGUUUGAGGUUGAAGAUGACAAAAUUUAGUUUGGUCCCUCAAUUUGUGAAAAUUACAAGUUAGUCCCUAAACUUUGUAAAAAAACACAGAUUGGUCCCUGGAGCAUAUUCCGAGAUUCUGGACAGAAUAAAAGAUGAAUUAUGGGCAGAAUUCCAGUAUAAUUAUGAAUUUUUAACACUUUCAAUUUGGUCCUUCCAUUUGACAAAAAUUACAAUUUGACCCUAAAAAUUUGGAAAAAUUCCAGAAUGGUCCCUGGAGCAUAAUUAGAGAUUCUGGACAGAACUGAUGAUAAAUUAUGGACAUAAUACCACUAUAGUCAUGAAUUUAUGAUAUUUUUAGUUCGGUCCUCCAAUUUGACAAAGUUACAAUUUGACCCUUAAAAAUAUAAUAAAUUCCAAAUUGGUCCCUAGCUGUAAUAUUAGCUUUUGCAAAUUGGUUUGAUGAAUAAUUGAGGAUUAUUUAGUGAAUUAUUAUCAAGUCUUGUUAUUUGUUUUAUUAUGAAUUAGAUUUCGGGAAUACUAUUUAAUUUUGGGUUUUUGGAAAAAUGACUAGUUUAGUUUAAAAACAUAUAGGGUUAUGGAAUAGACCCUUAUUUAAGUGUAUUAAAUAGGUUGAACGUUCUUUUCGAGUCGUUUUUUAAUAUGUCUCCUUUGUAUUCAGAUAAUCUUGAUAUUCUAUCGACAAGACAUUAGUAGGAUUUUCUUCGGUAUCUGCUUUCGAGUUAUGUUUGCUUUCGAGUCAGAUGAGUGGAUAAUUUUCCAUAUGCAUGAGAAAUAUUAUAAAUAUUUGAUUUGUUAAUAUGAAUUGGAUCAUGCUUCUUGAUAAUAUAUAUGUUGAUUAUUAUCUUUGUUACGAUAAAGCAUGAUCAAUUGUUGAAUCUGAAUUCUUGAUAUGAACUAAUAUAUAUUUUGAAUUGACUUUUGAGUUGAUAGCUCCUCAUUUGAUUAAUGUCAUGAGUUGAGCCUUGAGAUAUGAAUAUGUCUGUUUGAUUAUGAUUAUGAACUUACGGUAUGUCAGUCAGAAUACUCAUGCUAACAGGGUAGUAUUAGUCUUUGUGCACAUCGUAUCUGAACCCUAGUUGGUCGGGGGAGUCACAACCUAUGUGGACUGAUCAUCCCACAAUAUUACGGAGCCUCAUGCUCAUUGCAUUUUGAUUUUGUGACGAGCUUUACCUUAUGAUAUUUUUGUUAUUAUCUAUUUGAGAAACCUUUCUAUAAGAACCUAGAGUCAUAAUUGUAUAUAUAUUUCUCAUUGUUGUAUUACCUCUUGUGUGUAUAUUGAACGUUAUCUACUCACUGAGUUGUUGAACUCACCCUCUCAUUAUUUAUCUUUUCAGGCUUAUAGCUUGUUAGCGGGUCAUUUUGUUGGACCUUCAGGACCUGCUUUUUUGUUGAAAUUUGUAUUUUUUCCUUAUGUCUAGUUAGUGCUCCACAACUAUGAAUUUAUAUUAACUCUUGUAUUAAAAUAAUCAAAUUAUAUAAUGAAGUUAAUUUUGUUAUUAAUGUUGCGUUGAACUCACAUUGAGGUAUUUGAAGGUUAAGUUUGUAUGUAAGUCUGGGUUCGUAUAGGUAUAUGGAACCUUGAAGAGGAACUUUACUUGUGUGCCGGUCAUGGAUCUGGGAAUCGGGUCAUGACAUGUCCAACCUAAAACUCUGCCAAAAAAACAUCUUUUAGCUCAAAUGCUUAAGAUUUAAAGAAGAAAAAAUAAAAAUGUUGAAAUUCAAACUUGUUUGGUCAUUAAGUCUCGUGGUAUAAAAUAAGAAUUUCAACUCAAAAGCUGAAAUUAUUAGGUGAAGCAUCAAUAUAUAAUUUUUGUUAAUAGGUAUCACAUUCAAAUGCAGUUAACAGAACUGUAAAGUUACGGAUUGAAGAUAACUACAUUUUGAUUUGAACUAUGCUUGUAAGAGUUCGAAAAUCACAACGAAAAUAUAUGUUUUCACCAUUGUCCCACAACAUGUAUGAAUUAAUUUGUAUACUUUAAUCUCCUGUGAAAAAUUGAAUAAACAGCUGUUAGUUCACACUAACUUAAUACUGACUGGAAACGUUAAGACUGUAACAACAACAAAGGAUUAACGUAUUCCUGCAACAUGGUACAGUAAGAUGCUUUGGCAUGAAAUAUUUGCUUCAAUGAAACUGUAAUGUUUUGAAUUAAUGAAUUGGAAAAUACAACAAAGCCCUUUGUGGCUUAAAGUGUGGGUAUAAAUGAAUGAGGGGUAGUGUGGUAAUUAGAUAAACAUAAUAAAUAUAAAUAGAAGAAAAAAAACAAAAGAAGGAUCUGAAAAUUUAAGAGAGAAUCGGCAGAAGAGAAGGGAGAAAGAAGAAGAAGAAGAGAAAAGAGGGAAUUAAAAGGGAAAUAGAAAGGAGUUGAAGAGAAUAAGUUUAAAGGUAAGAUUUAGGUUGUUAAAUGUAUAAAUGUAUGUUAAUUGAACUUAAUUUCAGUUUUGAUAAAUGUUAGGGUUUUGAAAAUUUGUGUUUUGGGUUUAAUUGAUGAAUUAAAUUGAAUGUUAUAAGGUUGAUUGUUAUGGGUAAUUGAUUAAUGAGUUGAUUAUGGAAGAUUGUGAUGAUUUUGAGUUAUGAAUUGUGUAAAUGGUGAAUGUUGAGUUAGAAAUUUGGCAAGAACAGUAGGUAAUCUGUGAGAAUUCUGGGUUUGAGGUUGAAGAUGACAAAAUUUCGGUUUGGUCCUUUAAUUUUGAAAAAUUACAGAUUAGUCCCUAGCUGUAAUAUUAGCUUUUGCAGAUUGAUUUGAUGACUAAUUAAGGGUUAUUUAGUAAAUCAUUAUCAAUUUUAUUAGUUGUUUUAUUAUGGAUUAGAUUUCGGGAAAACCGUUAAAUUUUGGGUUUUUGAGAAAAUUGACUAGUUAGUUCAAAAACAUAUAGGGUUAUGAAAUACACCCUUAGAUAAGUGUAUUAAAUAGGUUAUAUAUUCUUUUGAGUCAUUCUUGAAUAUGUCUCCUUUGUAUUCAGAUAAUCCUGAUAUUCUACCAGCGGGACGUCAGUAGGAUUUUCUUCGGUGUCUGCUUUUGACUUCUGUUUGCUUUUGAGUCAGGUGAGUGGAUAAUUUUCCAUAUGCAUGAGAAAUAUUAUAAAUAUUUGAUUUGUUAAUAUGAAUUGGAUUAUGCUUCUUGAUAAUAUAUAUGUUGAUUAUUAACCUUGUUUUGAUAAAGCAUGAUCAAUUGUUGAAUCUGAAUUCUUGAUAUGAACCAGUAUAUAUUUUGAAUUGAAUUCUGAAUUGAUAGCUCCUCAUUUGAUUGGUGUCAUGAGUUGAGCCUUGAGAUAUGAAUAUGUCUGUUUGAUUAUGAUUAUGAAUAUAUGGUAUGCCAGUCAGAAUACCCAUGCUAACAGGGUAGUGUUAGUCUUUGUGCACAUCGUAUCUGAACCUUAGUUGGUCGGGGGAGUCACCAACCUGUGUGAACUGAUCAUACCACAGUACGGAGCCUCAUGCUCAUUGCAUUUUGAUUUUCUGACAAGUUUUACCAUAUGACAUUCUUGUUAUGGCCAAUUUGAGAAACCUUUCUGUAAGAACCUAGAGCCAUACUUGUAUAUAUAUUUCUCAUUGUUGUAUUACCUCGUGUGUGUAUUGAACGUUAUCUACUCACUGAGUUGUUGAACUCACCAUCUCAUUAAUUAUCCUUUUCAGGCUUAUAGUUUGAUAGCAGGUCACUUUUGUUGAAACUUCCGAACCUGCUUUUUGGUUGUAAUUUGUACCUUUCUUUUAUGUCAAGUUAGUGCUCCAAAACUAUGAAUUAUAUUAACUCUUGUAUUAAGACAAUUCAAUUAUAUUAUGAAGUUGAUUUUGUUAUUAAUGUUGCGUUGAACUCUGAUUAAGUUAGGAUAAGUUUGUGUGUAAGUUUAGGUUCGCAUAGGUAUGGAACCUUGGAGGGGAACCUUGCCUAUGUGCCGGUCAUGGAUCCGGGAUUCGGGUCGUGACAGAAACCAUACAACCUCCCCACCUUAAAUUGAAUAGUCUCUGGUGAUCCAAGAUUUGGACAAGGAAUAUCAGGCAAUUCAUCCUUGUUAGUGAAGGAACUAAGUUUUAGCUCUUUCAGAUUUCAAUAGCAAUUUUUUACGUUCUUCAUUUACCUCCAACCUUCAAGAGAUACGCUCUCCGAACUCACACACCCAGAAAACAAGUCACCCACAAAGUCAUCUGCUAAAAAGCAAUUUCCAAGAAACGUUGUCACUGACCUCAGGAAGUCAAGCCCCAUGAAGGCAAUACUCAUUAUUUUGUACUGAAAAUAAUAUUUAAGCCUCAAAAUCUUAACACAUCCAUUUCUUAGCAUAAAGGAAGAGAAAAGUCUCCGAGGGAGAAAUUGAAGUAAAUUUCAUGUACAUUGCCCUUAAUGGCAUAAUCAAUCCACUGGGGAUACCAGAGCGAAGACAGAAUUUGAAACGGGAAGAGGAAGGAGGGUAUUAUCAACAAAUUCGAUGCAAACGGGGAGGGAAGUGCGGUGGGAGUUGUGAGAGUCAUCAUCAUACUAUUAAUAAAGACUAGUAAACAGGAAUUUGGAUGCACUAGCUAUAAGCUAGUCAGAAAAGAUCAAGCAUGAUCAUUCGCAUGAAAUGCUGGGGGAGGGAAGAACUUCCGAUUGAAUAAAACUCAAUAAGUUCAUGAAUCAUACUUCUUCGGAUCGAAAUGGGGGGGGAAGAACUUCCGAUUGAAUAAAACUCAAUAAGUUCAUGAAUCAUACUUCUUCGGAUCGAAAUAAAUCAUCUCUGGCAUUUCUCUGCUGCUUCCUUCUUACUGUUUUUCUCCCUGGUCAGUGGUGACAAUCUACUUCAAUCUCUUUCGGCCUCCAUUAUCUCAUAACUCACCUUCCUUCAUUCCUCCACCAAUCUUGCAAUCACUUUUCCUUCGCUUCAUAUUUCCUGCAAGCUUUCUCUCCUCUGCUAUCAUGAUACGUUGCCCCAUAUUCACCCCACUUAGCCAACACCCCCCUAAGAUCGGAUCAGAAGAACCAUCCCCAGAGGAAAUAACCCUAAGAACCUUCGGCAAGUUAAUAUCCGCGAAAAAAGAUGUCAACAGCUUGCAAGCUUUUGCAACCCCCUGAAUAGGACUUCUCAGCUUGACAACCCUCGUCUCCUCCAAAAAUUCCACUUACUACUCAUCCUCCAGUAAGUAUUCAUCCUCCAGUAAGUAUACUUCCCCAGAAAUUGAUUCACCAAUCCAACCACCAUUAUCUACCCGAAAACUAGGAAAUGAUUAGAUGACACCCGGAUUAUAGUAAAAAAAAAAAAUUGAAAUUUGACUAAUCAAGUACCAAGAAAUUAAAUAAAAUCUCAAAACUCAAUUUUAAUCGUAAACUCAAAGCAUACAAACUGGAUUCAAGGUCAGAUCGAAAUUACUCAACAGAUUCAAUACAGCUCAGAAAAAUAUAACAUCAAAACCAGACCAAACCCCACCAAAUUUCAUCUCAAGAUUCAAACCUUUAUACAUUACAGAGCAAACAUUGCAGCAGCAACUAUGCCAACUGAUCCCACCACAUUAUUAUGUGCGAACAUAAGUGCACUAGAUAUAUCCACAGGAGCCACGGGACUCUCUACGGUUGCUGCAGGAACUGCCUUUGUAGGCUUUGCUGGUGCAGGUGCUACCGGUGCUGGAGCUGGAGCCUUUGAAGCAAAAAUGUCCUUAGGAAGUAGCACCUUCUCAAUCUUAUAAAUGGCUAGCUGGUUGUCCGUGUAUACUGUGCCAGAUAAACUUGUAUUGGUAAGUCCUGUGGUUAUGUUCACUGAGUUUGGAUAACUUGUGACAUUAAGUGGUAACCUACUACCUGUUCCAGCCCAUGUUCCGAGAGGGUUACUUACGGUCUGGAACUGGGAGGUCGAUAAGAAAGUAGGAACUACAUGAAACUUCACUAACUCAGACUUGUCUCCAUCACUUAGAG
rnacentral:lncRNA from 1 species